AUCAUUCGUAAAGAGGAAAUGCAUCUUCUGGAAACAAGGGACUGAUGCUAAGAGUUUAUUUUUCGGAAUGAACCGAGAUAAGGAUGGAUGAAUUCAUUGAACUGAUGAAAGAACAUAACUUGGAAAUGUUGGGUCUGUCUGUGUAAAUUCCCAACCGUAGUAUCACAAUGCCAUAAAUAGGAUGCUUGAGUGCCCACCUGACUGUAGCCAUGACUAAUUUUGCACGUUGUUUUCAAAUCAUCAUUGUCACGCGUGCCUUAUGGAGUGAUAGGGUUUCGGCCCGAGAUCGACACCUUGACACCCAAAUUUGUUUCGCCCCAGAUAUCAAGAUUGGGGUUCCCACGAUAAAAGAUCCCAUUGAGACACAACCUUAGACCUCUUUGAACCUUGGCCUAUAAAAAAGGAAUCCUUAUCCUUUCCCCCGAAGCAAAGGACAGCGGAAUCUCCUCAAGGGAGAGCGAAUAGAAUGCUAAAACCCGAUUUCCCAAAGAAAGGGAUGGGGAAGGAAAAGUGAAAAGAAAGAAAAGGAAGAAAUGGAAAGAAAGAAAAAAGAAAAAAGAAAAUAAAGAAAAGAACAGAAGAAAGGAAAGAAGGAUGCCCAAUCAAAGAUCGAAAUGAAGUGAAAAGGGAAAAGAAGCAAUUUUCGAUCAAUGAAAAAAGAGGACAGAAAUUCUUCAAAGCCAGAUUGCCACUCAGAAUCAUUCUUGACUGGCAAUAUCCCACCCCACAUGAACAAAGAGGAAAAGACCGAAACACCCAGUUUCCUCUCCAAAAAAAAAAAAACAAACACACUACCCUCGAGAAAAUCC
rnacentral:lncRNA from 1 species